GACGAACGCUGGCGGCGUGCUUAACACAUGCAAGUCGAACGGAAAGGCCCUGCUUUUGUGGGGUGCUCGAGUGGCGAACGGGUGAGUAACACGUGAGUAACCUGCCCUUGACUUUGGGAUAACUUCAGGAAACUGGGGCUAAUACCGGAUAGGAGCUCCUGCUGCAUGGUGGGGGUUGGAAAGUUUCGGCGGUUGGGGAUGGACUCGCGGCUUAUCAGCUUGUUGGUGGGGUAGUGGCUUACCAAGGCUUUGACGGGUAGCCGGCCUGAGAGGGUGACCGGCCACAUUGGGACUGGGAUACGGCCCAGACUCCAACGGGAGGCAGCAGUGGAGAAGAUUGCACAAUGGGCGGAAGCCUGAUGCAGCAACGCCGCGUGCGGGAUGACGGCCUUCGGGUUGUAAACCACUUUCGCCUGUGACGAAGCGUGAGUGACGGUAAUGGGUAAAGAAGCACCGGCUAACUACGUG
rnacentral:rRNA from 1 species